CUGCUGCUGCAGUGACUUACACCAAUGUGAAGAUGGAGUAAAAGCAGCAGUGAAUUGAGCCCAGGACUACUGUGUGUAUUAAAACUACCAGGCUAAUAAUCUUCUUGUUCAGAACACCAUACAGGGAUUUUGCAGCUCACAACCAAUACACAUAUCCCAACUGAAAUGAGAGAAAAGCUAUGGUAUUAUCUUCAUAUGCUGGAAUACUAAUGGUAAGAGACCAAGAAAGAUGGCAGGAGCAUUUAUCCUAUGGCAGACAAAAUAGAAACACUCCCUGUACCUAGAAUGUCUUUGUUCAUUCACACAUUCAUUCACACAGUAUACAGACAUUACAAAUAUUACAAAGACAUCUAAUUUUUAUCAAGAAGCCAUAAAGUUUUGCUCAGCCUAAGAAAACAACAUAGGCAGUUUCAGUAGGUGUUCCUGUGCUAGUGUACAUGUUAUUUAAUUUGUCUCAGCCAAAUGCAAAAUGGCAAGCAAGUUUAAGGACCAGAUCAAUUGAUUCAUACUAGCAGUAUGAAACAUUAUAAGGAGCUCAUGUGAGAGCUGUUUCAGAAAAGGGGAUAUGAGCUUGAUUUCAUCCAUUGACUUGAAAGAAUACUACUUCUGAGAGCCAAACCUCUCUUCUAACCUGUCUUCACAGAACAGCAUUCCUAUAGAAGAGAUCUUUGAGAUUUACAGCAUGAGACCCUCAGCAACUCACUGGCAGAGCUCUGCAAAAGGAGCUACAGAAGCAAAACAAGGAAUCCCUCCAAGGAAGCCUGGAACAAACUCAAAAGUGUUUGAGCAAAUGAAGCAAAUGAAGUAAAGACACAACAAAGACCUAGACUUCAUGUACUUCACUUAGUUGUAGGUGAGCUAACCAAUGUCUUCUACCAUAGCUUUAUAAUACAUUUACAACUUGUAUUUUAGUUGGGUUUUUUGGUUUUUUUUUUGUUUUGUUUUAAAUCUUCACAGCCAUUCCUUCCUUUCCACCUUCAUAUCUUGCACCUCAGACAUCCAUU
ensembl:lncRNA